rnacentral:rRNA from 1 species
CCUACGGGAGGCAGCAGUGAGGAAUAUUGGUCAAUGGGCGCGAGCCUGAACCAGCCAAGUAGCGUGAAGGAUGACUGCCCUACGGGUUGUAAACUUCUUUUAUAAAGGAAUAAAGUGAGGCACGUGUGCCUUUUUGUAUGUACUUUAUGAAUAAGGAUCGGCCAACUCCGUGCCAGCAGCCGCGGUAAUACGGAGGAUCCGAGCGUUAUCCGGAUUUAUUGGGUUUAAAGGGAGCGUAGAUGGGUUGUUAAGUCAGUUGUGAAAGUUUGGGGCUCAACCGGAAGAUUGCAAUUGAUACUGGCAGUCUUGAGUGCAGUAGAGGUAGGCGGAAUUCGUGGUGUAGCGGUGAAAUGCUUAGAUAUCACGAAGAACGCCGAUUGCGAAGGCAGCUUACUAAACUGCCACUGACAUUGAUGCUCGAAAGUGUGGGUAGCAAACAGGAUUAGAUACCCGGGUAGUC